AGCAGCCCGAUGAGCGGCGAUGCCAGGCAGGCGACGGUCUGAGAGGAGGAGGACUCAGGCGCUAGUGCGGAUUUGUUGGAAAGAGGAAUUUGAUGACUACAGGCUAUGAAGAUGAUUAGAAGACUGGAGAAACUGUCGUACGAGGACAAAAGAACUGUCAUACGAGGCUGAAAGAACUGGGCCUAUUUAGGUUGGGAAAGAAAAGACUGAGGGGAGACCUUGUCAAUGUGUAUAAAUAUCUGAGGGAAGGGUGUCAAGAGGAUGGAGCCCGUCUCUUUUCAGUUGUGCCCAGUGAGAGGACGAGAGGCAAUGGGCACAAACUGAAGUACAGGAGGUUCCGGCCGAAUAUGAGGGGACACUUUACUGAGAGAGUGACAGAGUACUGGAACAGGCUGCCCAGAGAGGUUUUGGAGUCUCCUUCUCUGGAGGUAUUUAAAACCCACCUGGAUGCCAUCCCGCACAAUGUGCUCUAGGUGAUCCUGCUUGGAAGGGGGCUUGGACUAGAUGAUCUUCAGAGGUCCCUUCCAACCUCAGCCAUUCUGUGAUUCUGUGACUUGCUAAAAGUUUCAGGAAGCCCCAGAGAAAUGACUCUUGGACUUCAUGAUCAGGUUCCAUUUAAGAGGUUAUUGCCCCAGCUCUCUGCUAAACACUGGUAGUAUACCUGUUUCUCACUGCUGCAGUUCAUAACCUGGAUCAGCUGGUACAUGAUGUGCAUAAAGAACCCUUGCAGCAAGAAGGGGAAGCCAAAGACCUGCUUCUUUCUCCUGUCACCAAGAGGCCCUCAUGCCAGAGGAGAGUAGGGUGCCUUCUCUGUGGCCUCUGUCUGCUCCAGGAACCUUCCACUUUCCCAGGGUCAAAGGACAAGGAAUGCACUGGAUAAAGAACACUAUUUCUUGUGUUUGGACACCACUCUGACACCGGUGGUGUUAUAUAUUCUGGCAUCUAACUGGCAAAUGACUAAAUUGAUAACUAGAUAUAACCCUCCCCCACACUCCAAGAAGGUAAGGACAAAGCCAGGGUAGUAGGUUGGAAGAAUGUCAUCAUCAAUAGUGAAAUAGUGAAAGAGAAUAUAUAGGUAGAAAGUAAACAGGGGUAUGGAGAAUGUUAAUAAAAGCUAUUAGUAAUGCUAUGUUAAGAUUCUUGUUAAAUUAUAUAUUCACUGUAUCACAUGGAUUCUCUUCUACCUUCUUGUUCUGCAAAAUGUGGCAUUAAAUACUCACCUCUGUUAAGACCCUAAGUAACUUGGAAGUGUCAUGGUCAUCAUGAAAUGGAACUUUAGGUUUUAGUUUACUUGGAGUUUUAAAUCUUUAUUCAUUCCAUUUGAGUCCCACAGAAUGGUAGAAAUCCAAACAGACUGUAGGCUUUGAGUCUUAUUUAAAUAUUUCAUAGAUAAGGAGGGA